UAUUGCAUAUCUUUUGUGUCUCCUCUCUUAAUUAGAGCUAUUAAUUAGAAUUUUGCGUUAAUUUUUUAUAGCUUAGAUCCAAAGACAAAGUUAACUGAUCUUUUUUUUCAAAAACAACAAAUUUUAUCGAAUGUAAAAUUUGCGGGAUUCCCUUUGAGGAAUGCAUAAAAUAUUCAAAAAAUAUUUAGAUGAAACAUUUAUCAACUAAUCAUCCGGAAGUAACAAUUCUAAAAGAAAAAGAAAUGGAUAUGGAAUUACUACACUUUAAAAAUAAAUUCUGAUGCGAAUUAUAUUAUGUGUGGAUAUCAAUUUUGUGCAGCUGAAUUUCCUUCAAUCGAUCAUCAACCAUCUUCAGAACUGAAGGACAACAUUCGUACAGGAACUAUUAUAUAUAACUAAAACAUUCCUUAUUGUGGGACUCUUUCUUCUUUUCCAUUCACGUUGUAUGCAUACAUGCAUCAAGUUCAAGGAGUUAUGCUGCAUUUUCACAAAAUUAUAAAAAAACGUCUACCUGCCUUAGAAGAUAUGAUUAUCCGAAGGAACAAGAGAAGAAUCUUUCACGAAUAAUUAUUAUUCUUAGUCUAUAUUACACAUUUAACGAAAUUUUAUAAAUGGAGUAGCUUUAUAUUUUUAAAUGAAUUAAAUAAUAACUGUUAAAGAGUAAUCAGUGUCAUUCAGAGAAUUAUUAUAUGCAAUUGCAUACCUAAUCGUAUUUAGAAAAUAGCGGAAUAUGAUUUACGUUUAGGUCUAUUAUGUCUUGUUCCAUAUAUGAUAUUAAAAUCGUUUCGCCCGGGAUUUUCCCAAACGUUUAUUUAUCAUUUGUACACGAAUAAAGAUGGAUUAUUAUUAAUCGCAAUUUAUUGAGCUCAAUUCAUAAGGUUGAGCUCGAUAAGUUGACCUAUCCCUUAUGUACAUUGAUAUUAACGAAAUCUUCAAUAUAAAUACAAAAAAAAAUUUGCUAAAAGCAAAUAAGAAGAUUUAGAUAAUUUGAAGAUUUAGAAUUUUUCAUGACAACUUUAAAUGAACUCUGGGAAACAGUUCAUACUCAAAAUAAAACUGUAUUUAACAUUGCGCAAAAAAUUGAGAACCUAGAAAGAGUCAUAUUAAAGUAAAUAUAAAA